CCUACUCCUGGAGGCGUUGCAGGUGUGGUUGCUGUGUCACAUGUGUGUCAGUAGAUGGCAGAGAGGAGAGGCCAUGUCUACACUCAGUGUUCUGACCUGUGAACAUCUGAGUGUUAGAAGCCAACAUA